UGUUCUUCACCGCCUUUCUCCUAUUCCCCGUCGCACAUUUCUCUCCCAUCGCCGUCAGCUCGUCCGCCGCUCUUCUUUCUGUCCUCGUUCGUCGGCUACAACGAACUGGGUUACUGGAUUCUUUAGUUUUCCUCCUCUGUUCACAUCGCUCUUCCCUCUGCUGUCCAUCACCGAAUAUUCUUUCUUCUCCCCUGUUGGAGUCGUGUAGCAAGUUCUGUCAUUUUAUGUUGUGGAAGCUGGUUUAUGGGUGCAAAAUGUUCGAUCUGUUGGUCUCUCCACUUUCCCCUGUAACGUCGCUGCUUUUCUUCUUCUUCGUCCUAGUUUAAAUUCCAUCGCCGAACGUGUGUAGCUGGGAGAAGCAUAGAUUUUCUUCUUCUUCGUUGCUCUACUGGACGUGGCAGAUCUGGUUCAUGAUUGCAGACUGUUCGACCCACUGGGAAUCUUAGAAUGAAAGUUUCACGAAAGAGGCCAUUUGAAAUAAGUAGCAUUACGUGGGAGCACACCAGAUAUCCAAGCUGAUUUCGUACUCCCUGCUGAUCUCUGAUGGGCUCAUUGUUGAAUUGACUAGAAGAUUACUUUUGAGAUAUCAUCUCAUUCAAGUAAAAUUCGAAAGCCCAUAUAGUAUCUUUUGAAAGUUCGAUUUAGAGUGCUCCACAUUAACUAUAGUUAGGGUCCUGCCUCUUUUUGUUAUGUUAAUUGUUUGCUGUUGAGUAGCAAAGCUUUAUAUUAUUGGAUAUAUGUUGUAGAUUUUCUGUUGAAGAGAUUUUGGAGGAUCCUGCCCUUAAGGGAGGGUUUGCAGAAAUUUUGAAAAAAAAAAUGAUAUUUUGACUUCAGGUAAAAAAAAAAAAUCUGGAUACUUUAAUUCAGAACUUUUCUUAAUUAAACUUUAGGGAUGUGAAUUUGUAUAUAUAUAUAUAUAUAUCUUAUGUUAUUCAAUGUAAAAAUUUUAGGA